UGAGUAACCUGCCCUUCACUCUGGGAUAACCCCGGGAAACCGGGAGCUAAUACCGGAUACUCCGGCUGGAUCGCAUGGUCCGGCCGGGAAAGGUCCGCCGGAGAGGGAUGGGCCCGCGGCCUAUCAGCUUGUUGGUGGGGUAACGGCCUACCAAGGCGACGACGGGUAGCUGGUCUGAGAGGGUGACCGGCCACACUGGGACUGAGACACGGCCCAGACUCCUACGGGAGCA
rnacentral:rRNA from 1 species